rnacentral:lncRNA from 1 species
CCUAAACCCUAAAAGCCAUAAAACCCAAAUGUAAAAUCAGCGUCAAAAUCGCGUCCCCGGUACCGCGCUACGUGACAGGACAUCGCGUCCACGUCAGCGCGACCUGCUGACGUGGAAGGAAAUCGCGUUGCGCUGACGUAGACGCGAUGUCCUGUCACGUACCUUGACAUCGCACUGACGUGGACGCGAUUUCAGGAAAAUGGCCCAUUCCGGUAAAUAAUUAAAAAAUUGGCCCAUUUCGGUAAUUUUUAAAAAAAUUAGAUUUUUUUGGUAAAUUAGCCCAAAAACCAACCAGUUAUAUCAUAUUUAAAAGUGGACUAUAAAAUCUAUGCCCCAGUGGCACUGAAAUUCCAAGAGUAAAACGUUACUCCACUAAAAUGCAGCUUCAGAUUGAUAUUUCAAUUUGACUAAACUCCAAAAUUUUGACCGCGGAGUUCAAAGCUCCAAUGCCACGGGUACUUAUUUUUAUACCCUGUCAAUCCCUUUCUUUGUUAUUAUUUAUUUUAUUUUUAAUAUAAAAAUACUUUUUUAAUAUUUAGUGUAAUACUCAAAUUUUGCCCGGCCCGAGCCCAAGUAUAUAAACCAAAUCAAAAAAUUAACAACAGUCCAAUAGCAGUCCAUUUACAAUAACCAAUCGACCCAAUUAGGCUAAUCUCUAGCCCAAUCGUGUUAUAGGCCCAACAAACCCAAACCCUGAUAAGCCUAAAUAGCUUCCAAAAACCCCUAGGGUUUCUGGAACGGACCAAGCGCCGCAACUCCCUCAGCCCCAGCGCGAGCCACCACAACAGUAGCCUCACAUACACUGCCACGCACGCCUCCACGCCACGCGCCUCCGUACACUGUACCUACAAAGGAAACGAAGACAACGCAGCACAAAAAAGAACAAAAAAGGAAGAAAAGAAAAUAAAAAGAUAGCACAAAGAGAAAAUAGGAGAAAGAGAAAAAAGAUGGAUGUAGUUUCGGGGCUAUAAAACCCCAUUUUCUGUAUUGUUUCAUAUCUUUUUUUUUACACACAUCAGAAUAAAAAACCGAGCAAGAUCUUAAGAGGUUGAGAAUCCGAUUGUUUUUCCUUUUGGUUCUUCGUUUUCUGUUUUCUUUUUAUUUUUUUAUUCAUUUAUUUGUUUGUUCGUCUCUUUUAGAAAUCGAUUUUAACAAAAAAUCUAGAAUAAUAAGAAAAGAAAAGGAAAUACCUGGAAUCGCCGCAAGCCCCCAUCACCGGAGAUCUUCUUUGGUCACCGAAAAUCGGACCGAAAAGGGUGUGGGGUUCUCUUAUUUCGACUUUCGGGCCGAGAAGUCUCAUCCUACGAGCGGGGUCUGAUACAGGGUUAAAAACCCAUUUUUCUAGUGCUCCGGCCACCGCCUGCAGCGGACCCACGGAGGUGUAGACGACGGCCGAUUGUCGUGCCCAGAACCGAAAAAGAGGGUGUUGAGAGGAUCUAAGAGACCCUCUCUCUAUUUUUGCUGGAAAAUGAAAAUGGAAUGUUUUUUGUGUGUUUUUUUCUAUUUAUAUGCGGUCCAAUACGACGCCGUUUUUUGCUUAAGCAUAAAUGGCCAAACGAUGUCGUUUCACAUGUGACUCGAACACCCGACCCGAAUGCGGUCAGGAUCCGCGUGUUUUGGUGGGAGGGGCUAAUUGCAUGUUUAGCCCCUCCGCUUUUGUAACCUAAUGUAAUCUGAUUUUUGCUCAUCUUCGAUUUUGGCAACGAUUUUUUGCUGCGUGUU